GCCAACGGACAUACCACGUUGAACACACCAGUUCUCGUCCGAUCACUGAAGUUAAUGCAACGUCGGGCCCGGUUAGUACUUGGAUGGGUGACCGCCUGGGAAUCCUGGGUGCUGUUGGUA
rnacentral:rRNA from 1 species